UACAGCCAUAUCAUGUUGAAACAACUGUUCUCGUACGAUCACCGAAGUUAAGCAACAUCGAGCCUGGUCAGUACCUAGAUGGGUGACCGCUUGGGAGUACCAGGUACUGCUU